ensembl:misc_RNA 7SK 7SK RNA
GGAUGUGAGGGUGAUUUGGCUGUGACAUUUGUCACCCCAUUCAUCACUAGGUUUGAUUAAGCUGAUCUGGUGGCUAGGUGGGUGACCCUUCCUCCCUCACUGCUCCGUGUACAUCCCUUCUGAAGCUUGGUCAAAGAGGGCAACCUUCCCUAAUAGAGAACGGUUCUUUAGUCAAGGGCAUAUGAGUAGCUGUACUUCCCUGCUAGAACUUCAAAGGUUUCAAGGUCCAGCAGUUUUGGAUGAGGAUCUUUGGUAGAAUCCAAAAUGUGAGGUCAGCCUCACAGAGUUGAAAGGAGAACUAUUUUCUACGCUGAAAUCAGAAUACAUUAAU